UUUGAGUGUGUUGUGACCUCUGAACGUCCAGGGUGUCAAAGCAAAGUGACGAUGUUGGCGAUAAAAAAAGCGAGCGAAAAACAAAAGCGCAUGCUUUCACGUCUCCGCAUAUCGAGUGCAAAUGGAACAAUGUCAACAGUGGUGUGGCACUUCCCCCCCCCCCAAAAGGACCUCCCUGCGGAAGUCCUGGCACCACAAACCACACGGGAAUGGAUCCACAGCACAGUAAACCACAUGAAGUUUUUCGCGCAGCCCUUCUUUUAAAUCACAGGAACUGGCUUGAUUCAGAAACCUUAUAAAUUGUUCUUAAAACUGCAA